rnacentral:rRNA from 1 species
UGCGCCAGCGAUGGCGCUUGCGAGGUGCUGCAUGGUUGUCGUCAGCUCGUGCCGUGAGGUGUCGGGUUAAGUCCCAUAACGGGCGCAACCCCUACUGCUAGUUGCCAGCGGGUCAUGCCGGGGACUCUAGCGGAACUGCCAGCGUAAGCUGCGAGGAAGGUGGGGAUGACGUCAAAUCAGCACGGCCCUUACGUCCAGGGCUACACACGUGUUACAAUGGCCAGUACAGAGGGCAGCCACCCCGCGAGGGGGCGCUAAUCCUAAAAGCUGGUCCCAGUUCGGAUCGGAGUCUGCAACCCGACUCCGUGAAGCUGGAUUCGCUAGUAAUCGCGCAUCAGCCACGGCGCGGUGAAUACGUUCCCGGGCCUU